rnacentral:lncRNA from 10 species
UUGGGGAUGGUUUCUUCAGAAUAGAUAACUGGAACAGAAUAUUGUAGCUGGAAAUGAGCCGCUGUGGUAAUCAGAAGCUACAAUAUGUGCCACGACUGUGAGGCUGACCUGUAACUGGGCCUCAAGGAGACCAUUCAUGCAACCUGGAAGGGCAUCAAGACUCUUGGUCAGGGCCUGAAAGACGGUGAGAAAAUGUCAUUGGAAACUGGGGAAAAGGCCUGAGAGUUAUGUGCUGAGGGACUGUGAGAAAACUAUGGCCACAACAUGGAAACUGAAAGGGCACUGCACCAUCUCAGGGAUCUGCCUAAGGAGACAUCUGGGAAGAACAUGGAAAGUGCUAUCAGCCUCCCCUAACUGUCACUGAAUAAACAUGACAGGAGAGGGACAUGAUCUAAAGAAGGAAGUUCAGUUUUCCAACAAAAUUUAGAGAAAAUAUAAAGAAAUAAUUUCUUGUCUCAAAAGGCCAAAGAAAAAAAAAAAGAAAAGAAAAAAAAAUUAUAAAGAAGCCAUUGAAUACCCUAUUGACCAUAAGAAAAAGGCAGAGAAAGUUGGUCAACGGCAACCCAGGCACUGAAGGAAAAAGAACAUGGAGAAUGACAAAAGCCCAGAGGGAGGAGUAAAAGGACACAAACGCCGUUCUCAGGGACAAGGACUGGGCGCCGUUCUCAGGGACCUGGACUGGGCACUAAUCACAGAACUGUAACAGGCGCCCCAUGGGAAUGACCAACUGUUAGACGGGGCCUGCAGGGCAGCACCUCCCUCCUGCCUCCCACCAACAGCUUCUAAAGGGAAAUGCCGACUGUUUUCACACCAGUCCCCUCACUGCGGCUGAGUGUGUGGGCACAGAUGAUAGGUCACAACAACCUGAUUCAGUCCUCACUGUGGCUGAGUGCGUCAGGGGCAGACGACAGGCCACCACAACCUGAUUCAGGAUUCAGUUGGGCUACCAGCCAGUGCCAUAAGGAAAACCAUUCUGGGACUCUUGAGAGGGGCAAAGCAUAAUUUGCAUGUGGGAGAAACGUUAGUAGUUUGUGGCCAGAGGACAAACUGUGGUUUAUUAAAGACUGCUGCAGGUUCCUACUAUGCUUCUCAUCAAGAGGUGGAAUCUAAUCACCUUCCCCCCUUGAAUCAUGGCUGGUCUCAGUGAUGAGUACGACUGGACAGUGUGGCAGGAGAGAUGCUCUGGGACUUCUGAGGGAUGAUCAUGAGAGACCUUACAGCUUCUGCCUGGGCCUCUUGGACACAUACACUGGGAGAAGCCAGACAAACCUGACUACCUGACACUGCCAGACUGGGAGGAAGUCCGUGCUGGCCACAAAGAGAGGGCUUGGUGCCUGCUCCAUGUCCCCAGCCACUAGAGUCCUUCUGGUGUCUGCUUCACGUCCCCAGCCACUAGAGUCCUUCCAGAUGAGACCAGGGACAUCAUGAAGCAGCCAACCCACAUUGCCCUGUCCAGUGUCUUGACCCAGAAAAUUGUGACAUGUGAAAAGAAUAAAUUCCUGGUUUAAGCCAGUAAGGUUACUGGUACAUUGUUACAUUGCAGAUAAUUAAAACCUUGAAAAACUCAUGAGAGAUCCCAAGUAAAACCUUGAUCUGAAACAUGGCAUGUGGCGAUUUAUAUUGAGUAUUAGGUUAAAAAUGCAAGAUUGGAGAAUAGUUAAUAUUUUACGUGAAAGCUAAAACUAUAAUUGCCCACUUAAAAUUUUCAGUUAAUUAGGUUGUCACUUUUUGUUUUUAACCAAGAAAUCAACUAGUUUUAGUCCAUAAACAGUUGGAACUGAUGCACACAUCCGUUUUUCCUUACUCAUUUUAAGCAGCUAUCUGAAAUAGGAAGUGUAAUAUAAUCUUUAAAGAAUCUGAAAAUAUGACAGAAAUGUUUAAACUAUAAACAUAUAUUGUAAAUGUUAGCAUAUUAUAUACAUUGCAUAUUAACAUAAGCUAAAAUCAUUGAUAUAAACUUAUAUAAACAAAAGGUAGAAAAUAUGACAAUGUUCUUCUUGUUUUUUGUCUUUGCAUAUUUCUUUAUUGGCCCUUGUCAAACGUGACCCACUAAGUCCUGAAUGCUUUCUCUCUCCCCAUGGAUUCCUAAGGAUGUCACCACAGUGCUGGCCAGAUGCACAGAUCACAGGUGACUGAACCUCAUCACCCCAUGAACACACCCUUCAGGUUUUGCCAAGAAUGACACUGUAAAUAUGACAAAGCUUCUGUGCUUGUUAGUGAACACCAAUUCAGCUUCUCUCCUGUAUUUGGAAAUCAGGAUGAGAUGAAAACAAGCA